GACCGAUAGUGAACCAGUACCGUGAGGGAAAGGCGAAAAGAACCCCGGCGAGGGGAGUGAAAAAGAACCUGAAACCGUGUACGUACAAGCAGUGGGAGCCCCACCACUAAGCCAGUGGUGAACUCCACAUACGCAUCCUUUGCUGAGGAUACGGUUAACGGAGCGAAAGCGACGUUCAACCGCAAAAGAAGCAGAGGGGGCUUAGUGGUGGGGUGACUGCGUACCUUUUGUAUAAUGGGUCAGCGACUUAUAUUCUGUAGCAAGGUUAACCGAAUAGGGGAGCCGGAGGGAAACCGAGUCUUAAUUGGGCGUUAAGUUGCAGGGUAUAGACCCGAAACCCGGUGAUCUAGCCAUGGGCAGGUUGAAGGUUGGGUAACACUAACUGGAGGACCGAACCGACUAAUGUUGAAAAAUUAGCGGAUGACCUGUGGCUGGGGGUGAAAGGCCAAUCAAACCGGGAGAUAGCUGGUUCUCCCCGAAAGCUAUUUAGGUAGCGCCUCGUGAAUUCAUCUCCGGGGGUAGAGCACUGUUUCGGCUAGGGGGCCAUCCCGGCUUACCAACCCGAUGCAAACUGCGAAUACCGGAGAAUGUUAUCACGGGAGACACACGGCGGGUGCUAACGUCCGUCGUGAAGAGGGAAACAACCCAGACCGCCAGCUAAGGUCCCAAAGUCAUGGUUAAGUGGGAAACGAUGUGGGAAGGCCCAGACAGCCAGGAUGUUGGCUUAGAAGCAGCCAUCAUUUAAAGAAAGCGUAAUAGCUCACUGGUCGAGUCGGCCUGCGCGGAAGAUGUAACGGGGCUAAACCAUGCACCGAAGCUGCGGCAGCGAACGUAUCACUUAAAGCGAUUCAGCGGGUUACGAUUGACGGAGCGAAGCGACGUCAAAGCGUAUACAAAGUCGAGUCGGUUUAAGGAUACGUUCGUUGGGUAGGGGAGCGUUCUGUAAGCCUG
rnacentral:rRNA from 1 species